rnacentral:SRP_RNA from 13 species
GCCGGGCAUUGUGGCGCAUGCCUGUAAUCCAGCUGCUUGGAGGCUAGAGAUGUUGAAUGGCUUGAGGUGUGGAUUCCUGAUGGCGGUCGUGCUAUGUCGAUCGGGUGUCCGCGCUAAGUCGGGCGUCAAUAUGGUGCCUUAAGAGGAGUCUCGAGUCACCAGGUUGGUUAAAGAGGAGCGUACCGGCCCAGGGUGGAAACACAGCAGGCAAAAGCUCCCGCGUUCGACAGUAGUGGGAUAGCACCUGUGAAUAGACGGCCGUCAACAGCCAUGCCAAGAUAGUCGAACUCAUCUCUCUU